AAAUUAGAGUUUGAUCAUGGCUCAGAGUGAACGCUGGCGGUAGGCCUAACACAUGCAAGUCGAACGGCAGCACAGGAGAGCUUGCUCUCUGGGUGGCGAGUGGCGGACGGGUGAGGAAUACAUCGGAAUCUACUCUGUCGUGGGGGAUAACGUAGGGAAACUUACGCUAAUACCGCAUACGACCUACGGGUGAAAGCAGGGGAUCUUCGGACCUUGCGCGAUUGAAUGAGCCGAUGUCGGAUUAGCUAGUUGGCGGGGUAAAGGCCCACCAAGGCGACGAUCCGUAGCUGGUCUGAGAGGAUGAUCAGCCACACUGGAACUGAGACACGGUCCAGACUCCUACGGGAGGCAGCAGUGGGGAAUAUUGGACAAUGGGCGCAAGCCUGAUCCAGCCAUACCGCGUGGGUGAAGAAGGCCUUCGGGUUGUAAAGCCCUUU
rnacentral:rRNA from 1 species